rnacentral:rRNA from 1 species
UACGUAGGGUGCAAGCGUUGUCCGGAAUUAUUGGGCGUAAAGAGCUCGUAGGCGGUCUGUCGCGUCUGCUGUGAAAACCUAGGGCUUAACUCUGGGCGUGCAGUGGGUACGGGCAGGCUAGAGUGCGGUAGGGGAGACUGGAAUUCCAGGUGUAGCGGUGAAAUGCGUAGAUAUCUGGAGGAACACCGGUGGCGAAGGCGGCAUCCUGGACCGAUACUGACGCUGAGGAGCGAAAGCCAGGGGAGCAAACGGG